AGCCCUGCAGCGCCGGGCCCGGCUUCCCCAGGGCUCACAAAGUUUGCGGUUUGUUUGCCCCGCUUCCGAUGAGGAAGCGAGCCGGAGCGUGCAGGAGGCGCGACAUCAAACCGGUGCACUAAGAAGUAAUGGAUAGGGGGGAGCGUGGUCUCUCGGAGAAAUAAAAUUGUGGGCGUUUUAGGACAACCUUCUCUGUAAUCCUCAUUUUUUAUACGCUCCCAGCUAUAUCCUUCCUGCUCUUAUCUGGAGAUCUUUCUUGGAUACACCUUAUUAAUUGAUGCUUACGAAGGCAUAACUGAUUCUUCAUGAUGGCGUAACAAUUAAACGUGCUUUCUGUACAUCAUCUCUUCUUUGAGGCAGUUUACCUAACUAAUCUUUCCAGGAUCACGCUCAGUUAUGAGCUUUCCCAAAAAGUAGGAAAAAUAAGAAGAUUGAUUAGCUACAAAGGGAUGAUAUUCCAUCUGCAGCCCCAUCCCGGUCUGAUGCCUUCACAACCAGAGUGUAACUACUAUGUUGCUGUCACAAAAAGAGAAGUCAUGUACAAUCUUUAAACUUCUUCUAAGGGGUUUCUCAGGAUGAGAGCAAGAGAAGAAAAAUGUCAUGAUCUAGAGCAAAAACACUGGUUGGAGCUGCCUGGGAAGUAGACUUCCGGCAUGUUCUACGAAGCCUCUGAAGAUAAUUUCAUCUAAGAAAUGUGAUAAAAUGCCUCAAACAACAAUAAUAGCCCCAGCAGAAGUGAAAACAAAAGUACCAGCUGUUACACUGUAUUUUUCUUUGCCAUACCUCAUUAUGAAGAGUGCACAUGGACUUAUGAGAAAAGAAACCAGAUGCUGCUGUUCCCACUCACUCUCACAAGCAAGAUCUAAGGAUCCUUGGCCUCAGCUUUGCAGCAACCUGGGUCUCCAAAAUAGCAGAUGCAGUUGUGUAUAAAAGAUUUCUUGUAUUUGUCCAGACUAGAUUUUGCUUUUGUUUCUGGUGAAAGAGUAUUGGUUUGUGGUGAGUGGACUGUGCCUUGAUCUUAUCUCCCUCUCACCAGAGAGAGCACCUGAGAGUCCCAGGGUCAUUGCUCUGAGCAGGAUGCAGAAGUGCUGGAGAGAGGUGAAGGCAAUGGCCUUCUGGUACAGAGAGAAAUUCUGAAUGCAUCCAACAUGAGCAUUGGCCUAACUGUCACUUCAAAGUCAAACAAAAGAAAGGAAAUAUUCAGAAACUUCUGCAGUUUUUGCUCAGGUGUCACAGGAAAUAACAAUCCUAGAAACUUAUGGUUCAUAUAAUGGAAGGUGAACAUCUUGUAUUCCUGGUGGGAUUAGCAAAAUAAAUAGUUUACGUUACUGCUUUUUAAACAUAAUGUUUAAAAUAUCAUUUGCAACAUAUAAUUAACUCCCUGCUUGUUAAUCAAAGACAUUUAUCUAACAAUUUUAUAUGAAGAGCAACCAAUUUAUAAACGUAUCUUAGCUGAUAAUUUGCCUGACUUGCUUUGGGUAUGGGUCAAAUUGGUGUACUUCCCCAUGCUGUGACAAUGUCUGGACAGCAUUUUGAAGAUCUUAAUAUAAUCCAUUUGAAAUUUCUAUUUGGAUGUGGGGCUAGAGACAAGGAACCACACUCACAAGUGAGGAGCCAAGGGAACACUGCUAUUUGUUUGACUGGAGGUCUCUGUCCUUAAAACACAUGAAAAAGUAAAAAGCAGCUUUGUAAAAAAUUAUGUAAAGAAACCCCCAUAUGCUUCUGGAAUUAUUUCAUAAAACACUUUACUUCAUUAAAGCUAUUGAAAGUUGUUCUUUGUAGUACCUGUGACACAUUGGAAGCUUGAUAAAUAAUGGAAGAUUGUCAGAACUGAAGAUACUGUGUUUGUGAAACAUCCAUCUGAAACCAGAAACAAUCUACUGUUUCUAUUGCAACUAUUUUAACAUUAUUAUAGCUUUAAUUAUUUAUUUCAGUUGUUUGAAUCAUUGGUGUUAUGUGAAAGAUAAUGAGCAGUAUCUGAUUGCAUUUCUGGCUUUUAAAUAAUGCCAAAAAUUUCCGUUUUAUCCACAGAAGUUUAAAAAAAUGCUAGGCAACCCAUAAAGUACAUGCAAGGCAAGUUAAGGUUAGUUUGGGAAAGAGUAGGGUGGUUAAAGCAAUGUGGAUAAAUAAAACUCUGGCAUAAAGUUUGAAAUAUGUUCUAUAUUUUACUGUCUAGACCAAGAUUUUCAGUGCCUAGUGAGUAAAACACUGAUAUUAUUAUGGAAAUUUUUUCUUUUUUGGUUUAUCUUGUAAUAAAUUAGAAAUCUCAUGAGCUGUCCUGCUUACAGAUAAAGAAGAGAACCUCUGUGUUGGGAAAAAGAACAGUUAUAAUCCUAGAUUUAAGGGAAAAAGUGCCUAGAAAAUAAAGAUCUAGGAGAGUAGGAGCAAUAUGGAGCUACCCGGGACUAAUUUCAUGACAAGCAGAGGCUGAACUUUAAGCAACAUCUCUAGAAACUAUUACCAACUAACAGACUUGGGAAGUCACAUCCAAGUAUCUAAGUGGCAUGACAUUGAAACCUGUCAAGCACCACCAGAUUAGUGCUGCUAAAAUCAGGCCUGCUAAUUAGAAAACCAUGUUGGGUAACAGCAUCACAGCAUCACUUCAAAAGAAGAUUAUUUAAGCAGUCUAAUUUCAGCAGCCAGUAAAAAACCCCAAACAAGCACAACAAACCAACAACUGGAAAACCUUGGCUUGUAAAGCUGAAGCAUGAAGUCUUAUACUUAUUGUAGUUAAAGGCGAAUUUUAUUUAGAUGGUUAAAAAUUAAGUAUCACUUUCAACAGGUUUGGCUUCAGAUAAAUGAGUGGAACAGCAGAAGCAUGUCUGGGCACAAAGGGCAAAGCUAUAAAACUCUGUCUGGAGCCCUACUUCACUCUUCUGGUGUUCCUCCCUCAGCUGACAUGCUAACUCUUUGUACAUGAUAAGAAGAUAACAGCAAGGAUAAAGUCUGGGUAUAAGCUCGAGAAGCUAAACAUUCAUGACAGGAUAAUUCAGUUUUUUAGAUAAAUAUUCACAUGUAUUUUUUUUAAUAUAUAAUUCCAAAUUCAUGUUCAAGCCCCAAAUGAGCUAGGAAUGUAUGUCUAAACUAACACAAACAAACUCACCAUCUCUAAGAAUAUUAUAUUAAAACGCUCAUGGAUUUGAAACCCUGAACAAUAUUUUUACUCCGUCUUAAUCUUUGAGCACCCAAAAGCAAGUAAACUCCUGUAGCAUAGUGCUCUCAUCCUGCUUUUACUUUCAAUUUUUUUCCAUUCUCACCAAGAGAUGUCACAUUUCCAUUUUGGUUCAAAGUCCUUUUUGCAGGAAAACUGUUUUAUCUCCUGAUGCCCUGAAGUGUUUCCUUCCUCCUGAAAACUGCUAAGCAGAAUGAGCAGAUGAGAGAGACAUACAGACAGACAGACAGGCUGCUCAGCUCAUCUCUCACUGCAGUGGAGCAGAGGAGGGGUAGCAGUGUUGCUGGCUGAAUGCUCCUUGCAAUGCCUUCAGACUGGUGUAAGGAGAGUUAAUCCCUCGAGCCUCCCCUUUUUCCCGGGAAGAAAGGCAGGAGAGAUGAGAGAAAGGAAAGCAGUGCCUUUCCUUCUAUCCCUUCGAGCCUGUACUCUGAUUAAUGGGUAUGCCUGGUGGCGAUUAGAGAAGUCCCAGUGCAGAUUAGAGAAGUCCCAGUGCAGCCUUUAUAUAGCAACGACCAGGUAUUUGUAGAUACAGCUGCAGGGCAUGGUCAGCAAUGUUCAUCUGCUGCCUUCGCUGAGGCUCAAGGAGCAUUUGGGCUUCCACAGCACUAACAAAACAGCUCUCAGGACUCUACUGGGAGUGUGAUUGCUUCUUUUCAACUGACUGUAUACUCCAGGUAUGUGAGCUACAAGCAAAGCAUGCAGCUUCUUGUCUAAUCUGACUGCUCAGGCAGUGAUUGCUGUGUGAAUUGCAUGACUAAUAGCACAAAGAUAUUCUGAAUCCAGCCUUAUUCAAGUACGAACUGGGUCCCUGAAGAAGCAGCUAUUUGCUUGGAUGUUUUUUACCAUCUUAGUCAUGACAUUGAUAGUGACUUCAGGUGCUGCCCUGCCCCUCCAAAUUAUUUUGGUGCAUGGACACCAGCGUCUUUGUUUCAAGGCUUAUUUUUGUUCUGUAGCUUGAAUCUGAGUGUUAGGGAUCAAUGAGAAAGUGGAGGUCACAGGAUUUAACAAUCAUCAUUAUACUAUUGCCUUUGGCAACAGUAACCAGUAAGGCUAAAAUCACCUCUCUAACACAGUGCUUUAUUAAAAAUUAGUAAUUAAACAUGAAAAUCCCUAAAUAUUUUAAGGUGUCACAUUUUUUAUUACUUUUCUGGGUGAAAAAGUCAAUGGUGAGGCUUAAGCUUUGGAAUAUGUAUUUUAAUAUUUUCCGUAAUGUAAUACUUCUGUUUUACAUUUUUUUUACAUAACAUAUUACACAUCAACUUCUUUAGUGUGGUGGCAUUGAUAUAUUCUGGUUUUAUAUGAGCGCUAAUAAUGUUAGCAUCUGAACUCUUUUUAUGUUUCAGACAAAGCCUGUAAAGUCUUAUGUCUGGCUGAGGAUCUUUGUAUAUUCUAUGCUUGCAUACUUAACUUGUGAGAAGGUGUCUUAAUAAAAAUAUUGUGUCAUUUUAAUGAUAUAAAAAUGUAUCACAUGACUAGCCAUAGACAUCAGACCACAGAUCCCUUUAACUUAGCAGCUUGAGUCUGAGAGUGGCCAAUACCAAUUGCUUAGUGUAGCCAAGUUCAGAAAGAAACUGAUGGAAGAGGGUGGUGAGGAACUUCAUGAGCUGGAAAUUGCAUCCAUACAGCUAUAUCUAACAGUAUAAGAUGCACCUUUCUUCAUUAAUUGAACACUUUUAUACCACCAAAACACCCUGUGGUAGUGAGUUCCUCAGAUUUAGUUAGGUGCAAUGUGAAAAAGUUCUUCCUUCUGUUCUUUUAAACAUGAAGACUGAUUAUUUCACUGAAUGCAAUAAGUAGCUGUUCUUUAGUCACCUUCUCCAUGACAUUUACUGGCAUCUUACUGAAUGAUGGGACCUUACACAACAAAAUAAAGAGCAUACCUUCUAAGAAUGACGACUAAACUUCUCUUUUAAUCAAGAGUAAACCUUCCCUGUAAAUAACCAUCAUUAUGUACCAUUAAGGAUUAAUGUGGUGCGUUGCUGGAAAUAAAGAUCAGCUUGUUUUA